rnacentral:rRNA from 1 species
GGAUGUUGGCUCAGAAGCAGCCAUUCAUUCAAAGAGUGCGUAACAGCUCACUAGUCGAGAGGUCCUGCGCCGAAAAUGUCCGGGGCUGAAACACAACACCGAAGCUGUGGAAUGUAGUAAUACAUUGGUAGAGGAGCAUUCUUAAUACCGACGAAGCUGUACCGGAAGGAGCAGUGGAGGGAUAAGAAGAGAGAAUGCCGGAAUGAGUAGCGAGAGGAAGGUGAGAAUCCUUCCGGCCGAAUAUCUAAGGUUUCCAGAGUAAAGCUGAUCUGCUCUGGGUAAGUCGGGGCCUAAGGCGAGGUCGAAAGACGUAGUCGAUGGAUAACAGGUUUAGAUUCCUGUACUGCGUAUCAUCAGAAAUGUGGGGACGCAUGUGGAAAGCACGAGCCGGGAAUGGAAAGACCGGUACAAGCGAGGGAGGUGUACGGCUGGCAAAUCCGCCGUAUAAGCCAAAAGCGUGAAGUGGAGCGAAAUAAAAGUAGCGAAGCGUGUGAGCCAUGUGCCGAGAAAAGCCGCUAUUGUGUGAUAUGUACCCGUACCGCAAACCGACACAGGUAGAUGAGGAGAGAAUCCUAAGGCCGACGGAAGAAGUAUUGUUAAGGAAUUCGGCAAAAUGUCCCCGUAACUUCGGGAGAAGGGGAGCCCACGAGAGUGGGCCGCAGAGAAUAGGCUCAAGCAACUGUUUAGCAAAAACACAGGUCUAUGCGAAACCGAAAGGUGAUGUAUAUGGGCUGACGCCUGCCCGGUGCUGGAAGGUUAAGAGGAGAGGUUAGAGCAAUCGAAGCUUUGAAUUUAAGCCCCAGUAAACGGCGGCCGUAACUAUAACGGUCCUAAGGUAGCGAAAUUCCUUGUCGGGUAAGUUCCGACCCGCACGAAAGGCGUAAUGAUUUGAGCACUGUCUCGACAAUACAUCCGGUGAAAUUGAAGUACCAGUGAAGAUGCUGGUUACCCGCGCCAGGACGGAAAGACCCCAUGGAGCUUUACUCCAGUUUGGUACUGGGAUUCGGUACUGCAUGUACAGGAUAGGUGGGAGACUAAGAAACUUGAACGCCAGUUUGAGUGGAGUCGCUGUUGGGAUACCACCCUUGCAGUAUUGGGUUUCUAACCUGUCACCGUGAUCCGGUGAAGGGACAAUGCCAGGCGGGGAGUUUGACUGGGGCGGUCGCCUCCGAAAGGGUAUCGGAGGCGCUCAAAGGUUCCCUCAGAAUGGUCGGAAACCAUUUUAAGAGUGCAAAGGCAGAAGGGAGCUUGACUGCGACACCGACGGGUGGAGCAGGUAGGAAACUAGGACUUAGUGAUCCGGUGGCAUAAAGUGGGAUUGCCAUCGCUCAACGGAUAAAAGCUACCCUGGGGAUAACAGGCUUAUCACUCCCAAGAGUUCACAUCGACGGAGUGGUUUGGCACCUCGAUGUCGGCUCAUCGCAUCCUGGGGCUGUAGCAGGUCCCAAGGGUUGGGCUGUUCGCCCAUUAAAGCGGUACGCGAGCUGGGUUCAGAACGUCGUGAGACAGUUCGGUCCCUAUCCGGCGCGGGCGGAGGAUAUUUGAGAGGAGCUGUCCUUAGUACGAGAGGACCGGGAUGGACGAACCACUGGUGUAUCUGCUGUCGACCAACGGCAUGGCAGAGUAGCCAAGUUCGGAAGGGAUAAACGCUGAAGGCAUCUAAGCGUGAAGCCCCCCUCAAGAUGAGAUAUCCCUCCUUCGGGAGUAAGACCCCUUGAAGACUACAAGGUAGAUAGGGCAGAGAUGGAAGCAUGGCAACAUGUGUAGUUGACUGUCACUAAUAGGUCGAGGGCUUGACCAAAA